rnacentral:rRNA from 1 species
CCUACGGGAGGCAGCAGUGGGGAAUAUUGGGCAAUGGGCGCAAGCCUGACCCAGCAACGCCGCGUGAAGGAAGAAGGCUUUCGGGUUGUAAACUUCUUUUCUGAGGGACGAAGAAAGUGACGGUACCUCAGGAAUAAGCCACGGCUAACUACGUGCCAGCAGCCGCGGUAAUACGUAGGGGGCAAGCGUUAUCCGGAUUUACUGGGUGUAAAGGGAGCGUAGACGGGAAUACAAGUCGGAAGUGAAAUACCCGGGCUCAACCUGGGAACUGCUUUGGAAACUGGAUGGCUGGAGUGCUGGAGAGGUAAGCGGAAUUCCAGGUGUAGCGGUGAAAUGCGUAGAUAUUAGGAGGAACACCAGUGGCGAAGGCGGCUUACUGGACAGUAACUGACGUUGAGGCUCGAAAGCGUGGGGAGCAAACAGGAUUAGAUACCCCUGUAGUC